UUCCUUUCUUUCUUCCCGUUUUCCUCUUCCCCUGAAGCCGCGGCGACCGUUGGCUUUCCCCGAGCAUCCGACCAUUCUUCCGGUCCCUUUCUUCCUGCCGAGCAUCCCGACGAUCGCCAAGCCACAGCCGGACGAUCUCCAAGCACCAGCCGGACGUUCUUCGUUUCUCGUUCUCGUUCGAAUCAUUCAGAGACCUGAGGGAACUCAAAGCUUUACAGUGCGCAUGUUUCACAAAUGGUUGUCCUUAACUCUAAUGUGACUCAUCCAUUAGGAUUAUUGAAUGAUCCUAAUGCUUUUCCAGUUGAUGGGUUUAGCGGGUCUUUGGUUGAGUUUAUGGUCAAAGAAACUGAGAAGCUUCAUGCUCGUGUAUCCACCUUUAAAGUAUCCACAGGUUCUUCAUCUAAUUGGUCGCCUGAUCAAUAUUAACAGGAAAGUAUGGGAUAUAUAUGUACUUUAAAAACCUUCUUCCCAGAUUGGUUAAGGAAGGAGAUGAUGGUAAUUGUGGAUCAACAGCAGUAUGUGACACAAUUUGUCUUCAGGCCCUUUCGAAGAGAAUUCACUAUGGGAAAUUUGUAGCAGAGGCUAAGUUUCGAGCUUCGCCCGAGGACUAUACAAGUGCAAUAAAAGCACAACUAAGACCGAAAAUGGCUGAUGGAUUUACUUACAUAUCCAAUGGUUGAAGAAGCAGUGAAGAGAAUGGUGGAGAUAAAAUCGAAAACUCAUGGUCAAGAAGUGGUGAUUAAUCAGGGGAUGAACUGGUUUCAGGUUCAGAUCCGAAUUACAGAAUAAAACCAAACUUGGUUGGGGAUUUGUAUGGAGAUUGGAUCAUGCCAUUGACAAAGGAAGUUCAAGUUGAGUAUUUGUUAAGAAGACUUGAUUGACAUGUAAUAAUAAUAAUAAUAAUAAUAUGUUAUUAGAUUACUUACUACUUAUGUAUUAUAAAUCAAUGCCCUAAUGUUUGGCCUCCCCUGUUUUAGAAC